AUUCCAGCUCCAAUAGCGUAUAUUAAAGUUGUUGCAGUUAAAAAGCUCGUAGUUGGAUUUCUGUUCUCGAGGAUCGGUCCGCCUCACGGUGAGCACUGGUUUUUAUUGGGGACAUCCUCUCGAAGGCGGGUGGUGCACUUAAUUGUGUGCUGCUUGGAUUCGGGACCUUUACUUUGAAAAAAUUAGAGUGUUCAAAGCAGGCGUCGGCUUGAAUACAUUAGCAUGGAAUAAUGGAAUAGGACUUUGGUUCUAUUUUGUUGGUUUCUAGGACCGAAGUAAUGAUUAAUAGGGACAGUUGGGGGCAUUAGUAUUUAAUUGUCAGAGGUGAAAUUCUUGGAUUUAUGAAAGACUAACUACUGCGAAAGCAUUUGCCAAGGAUGUUUUCAUCA
rnacentral:rRNA from 1 species